rnacentral:rRNA from 1 species
GACGAACGCUGGCGGCGUGCUUAACACAUGCAAGUCGAACGGAAAGGCCCUGCUUUUGUGGGGUGCUCGAGUGGCGAACGGGUGAGUAACACGUGAGUAACCUGCCCUUGACUGUGGGAUAACUUCAGGAAACUGGGGCUAAUACCGGAUAGGAGCUCCUGCUGCAUGGGGGGGGUUGGAAAGUUUCGGCGGUUGGGGAUGGACUCGCGGCUUAUCAGCUGGUUGGUGGGGUAGUGGCUGACCAAGGCUUUGAAGGGUAGCCGGCCUGAGAGGGUGACCGGCCACAAUGGGACUGAGAGACGGACCAGACUCCUACGGGAGGCAGUAGUCGGGAAUAUUGCACAAUGGGCGGAAGCCUGAUGCAGCAACGCCGCGUGCGGGAUGACGGCCUUCGGGUUGUAAACCGCUUUCGCCUGUGACGAAGCGUGAGUGACGGUAAUGGGUAAAAAAGCACCGGCUAACUACGUG